rnacentral:rRNA from 1 species
AUGAACGCUAGCUACAGGCUUAACACAUGCAAGUCGAGGGGCAGCAUGAACUUAGCUUGCUAAGUUUGAUGGCGACCGGCGCACGGGUGAGUAACACGUAUCCAACCUGCCGAUGACUCGGGGAUAGCCUUUCGAAAGAAAGAUUAAUACCCGAUGGCAUAGUUCUUCCGCAUGGUAGAACUAUUAAAGAAUUUCGGUCAUCGAUGGGGAUGCGUUCCAUUAGGUUGUUGGCGGGGUAACGGCCCACCAAGCCUUCGAUGGAUAGGGGUUCUGAGAGGAAGGUCCCCCACAUUGGAACUGAGACACGGUCCAAACUCCUACGGGAGGCAGCAGUGAGGAAUAUUGGUCAAUGGACGAGAGUCUGAACCAGCCAAGUAGCGUGAAGGAUGACUGCCCUAUGGGUUGUAAACUUCUUUUAUACGGGAAUAAAGUGAGGCACGUGUGCCUUUUUGUAUGUACCGUAUGAAUAAGGAUCGGCUAACUCCGUGCCAGCAGCCGCGGUAAUACGGAGGAUCCGAGCGUUAUCCGGAUUUAUUGGGUUUAAAGGGAGCGUAGGCGGACGCUUAAGUCAGUUGUGAAAGUUUGCGGCUCAACCGUAAAAUUGCAGUUGAUACUGGGUGUCUUGAGUACAGUAGAGGCAGGCGGAAUUCGUGGUGUAGCGGUGAAAUGCUUAGAUAUCACGAAGAACUCCGAUUGCGAAGGCAGCUUGCUGGACUGUAACUGACGCUGAUGCUCGAAAGUGUGGGUAUCAAACAGGAUUAGAUACCCUGGUAGUCCACACAGUAAACGAUGAAUACUCGCUGUUUGCGAUAUACAGUAAGCGGCCAAGCGAAAGCGUUAAGUAUUCCACCUGGGGAGUACGCCGGCAACGGUGAAACUCAAAGGAAUUGACGGGGGCCCGCACAAGCGGAGGAACAUGUGGUUUAAUUCGAUGAUACGCGAGGAACCUUACCCGGGCUUGAAUUGCAACUGAAUGAUGUGGAGACAUGUCAGCCGCAAGGCAGUUGUGAAGGUGCUGCAUGGUUGUCGUCAGCUCGUGCCGUGAGGUGUCGGCUUAAGUGCCAUAACGAGCGCAACCCUUAUCGAUAGUUACCAUCAGGUUAUGCUGGGGACUCUGUCGAGACUGCCGUCGUAAGAUGUGAGGAAGGUGGGGAUGACGUCAAAUCAGCACGGCCCUUACGUCCGGGGCUACACACGUGUUACAAUGGGGGGUACAGAAGGCAGCUACACGGCGACGUGAUGCUAAUCCCGAAAGCCUCUCUCAGUUCGGAUUGGAGUCUGCAACCCGACUCCAUGAAGCUGGAUUCGCUAGUAAUCGCGCAUCAGCCACGGCGCGGUGAAUACGUUCCCGGGCCUUGUACACACCGCCCGUCACACCACGAAAGUUGGUAACACCCGAAGCCGGUGGGGUAACCGUAAGGAGCCAGCCGUCUAAGGUGGGGCCGAUGAUUGGGGUG